AUUGAACGCUGGCGGCAGGCUUAACACAUGCAAGUCGAACGCGUGGCGGAGGGGUGAGUAAUGUUUGGGACCCUAGCUUAUGGAGGGGGUUAACUACGGGAAACGGUAGCUAUAACGGCGUACCAGAGGAUGAGCCCAGGUGGGAUUAGGUAGUUGGUGAGGUAAAGGCUAACCAAGCCGACGAUCCCUAGCGGGUCUGAGAGGAUGACCAGCCACACUGGAACUGAGACACGGCCCAGACUCCUACGGGAGGCAGCAGUGGGGAAUAUUGCGCAAUGGGGGCAACCUGACGCAGCCAUGCCGCGUGAAUGAAGAAGGCCUUCGGGUUGUAAAGUUCUUUCGUUAGCGAGGCGUUACCUACAGAAGAAGCACCGGCUAACUCCGUGCCAGCAGCCGCGGUAAUUC
rnacentral:rRNA from 1 species